rnacentral:rRNA from 1 species
UUAAGCGACUAAGCGUACACGGUGGAUGCCCUGGCAGUCAGAGGCGAUGAAGGACGUGCUAAUCUGCGAUAAGCGUCGGUAAGGUGAUAUGAACCGUUAUAACCGGCGAUUUCCGAAUGGGGAAACCCAGUGUGAUUCGUCACACUAUCAUUAACUGAAUCCAUAGGUUAAUGAGGCGAACCGGGGGAACUGAAACAUCUAAGUACCCCGAGGAAAAGAAAUCAACCGAGAUUCCCCCAGUAGCGGCGAGCGAACGGGGAGCAGCCCAGAGCCUGAAUCAGUGUGUGUGUUAGUGGAAGCGUCUGGAAAGGCGCGCGAUACAGGGUGACAGCCCCGUACACAAAAAUGCACAUACUGUGAGCUCGAUGAGUAGGGCGGGACACGUGGUAUCCUGUCUGAAUAUGGGGGGACCAUCCUCCAAGGCUAAAUACUCCUGACUGACCGAUAGUGAACCAGUACCGUGAGGGAAAGGCGAAAAGAACCCCGGCGAGGGGAGUGAAAAAGAACCUGAAACCGUGUACGUACAAGCAGUGGGAGCACGCUUAGGCGUGUGACUGCGUACCUUUUGUAUAAUGGGUCAGCGACUUAUAUUCUGUAGCAAGGUUAACCGAAUAGGGGAGCCGAAGGGAAACCGAGUCUUAACUGGGCGUUAAGUUGCAGGGUAUAGACCCGAAACCCGGUGAUCUAGCCAUGGGCAGGUUGAAGGUUGGGUAACACUAACUGGAGGACCGAACCGACUAAUGUUGAAAAAUUAGCGGAUGACUUGUGGCUGGGGGUGAAAGGCCAAUCAAACCGGGAGAUAGCUGGUUCUCCCCGAAAGCUAUUUAGGUAGCGCCUCGUGAAUUCAUCUCCGGGGGUAGAGCACUGUUUCGGCAAGGGGGUCAUCCCGACUUACCAACCCGAUGCAAACUGCGAAUACCGGAGAAUGUUAUCACGGGAGACACACGGCGGGUGCUAACGUCCGUCGUGAAGAGGGAAACAACCCAGACCGCCAGCUAAGGUCCCAAAGUCAUGGUUAAGUGGGAAACGAUGUGGGAAGGCCCAGACAGCCAGGAUGUUGGCUUAGAAGCAGCCAUCAUUUAAAGAAAGCGUAAUAGCUCACUGGUCGAGUCGGCCUGCGCGGAAGAUGUAACGGGGCUAAACCAUGCACCGAAGCUGCGGCAGCGACGCUUAUGCGUUGUUGGGUAGGGGAGCGUUCUGUAAGCCUGUGAAGGUGUGCUGUGAGGCAUGCUGGAGGUAUCAGAAGUGCGAAUGCUGACAUAAGUAACGAUAAAGCGGGUGAAAAGCCCGCUCGCCGGAAGACCAAGGGUUCCUGUCCAACGUUAAUCGGGGCAGGGUGAGUCGACCCCUAAGGCGAGGCCGAAAGGCGUAGUCGAUGGGAAACAGGUUAAUAUUCCUGUACUUGGUGUUACUGCGAAGGGGGGACGGAGAAGGCUAUGUUGGCCGGGCGACGGUUGUCCCGGUUUAAGCGUGUAGGCUGGUUUUCCAGGCAAAUCCGGAAAAUCAAGGCUGAGGCGUGAUGACGAGGCACUACGGUGCUGAAGCAACAAAUGCCCUGCUUCCAGGAAAAGCCUCUAAGCAUCAGGUAACAUCAAAUCGUACCCCAAACCGACACAGGUGGUCAGGUAGAGAAUACCAAGGCGCUUGAGAGAACUCGGGUGAAGGAACUAGGCAAAAUGGUGCCGUAACUUCGGGAGAAGGCACGCUGAUAUGUAGGUGAAGCGACUUGCUCGUGGAGCUGAAAUCAGUCGAAGAUACCAGCUGGCUGCAACUGUUUAUUAAAAACACAGCACUGUGCAAACACGAAAGUGGACGUAUACGGUGUGACGCCUGCCCGGUGCCGGAAGGUUAAUUGAUGGGGUCAGCGCAAGCGAAGCUCUUGAUCGAAGCCCCGGUAAACGGCGGCCGUAACUAUAACGGUCCUAAGGUAGCGAAAUUCCUUGUCGGGUAAGUUCCGACCUGCACGAAUGGCGUAAUGAUGGCCAGGCUGUCUCCACCCGAGACUCAGUGAAAUUGAACUCGCUGUGAAGAUGCAGUGUACCCGCGGCAAGACGGAAAGACCCCGUGAACCUUUACUAUAGCUUGACACUGAACAUUGAGCCUUGAUGUGUAGGAUAGGUGGGAGGCUUAGAAGUGUGGACGCCAGUCUGCAUGGAGCCGACCUUGAAAUACCACCCUUUAAUGUUUGAUGUUCUAACGUUGACCCGUAAUCCGGGUUGCGGACAGUGUCUGGUGGGUAGUUUGACUGGGGCGGUCUCCUCCUAAAGAGUAACGGAGGAGCACGAAGGUUGGCUAAUCCUGGUCGGACAUCAGGAGGUUAGUGCAAUGGCAUAAGCCAGCUUGACUGCGAGCGUGACGGCGCGAGCAGGUGCGAAAGCAGGUCAUAGUGAUCCGGUGGUUCUGAAUGGAAGGGCCAUCGCUCAACGGAUAAAAGGUACUCCGGGGAUAACAGGCUGAUACCGCCCAAGAGUUCAUAUCGACGGCGGUGUUUGGCACCUCGAUGUCGGCUCAUCACAUCCUGGGGCUGAAGUAGGUCCCAAGGGUAUGGCUGUUCGCCAUUUAAAGUGGUACGCGAGCUGGGUUUAGAACGUCGUGAGACAGUUCGGUCCCUAUCUGCCGUGGGCGCUGGAGAACUGAGGGGGGCUGCUCCUAGUACGAGAGGACCGGAGUGGACGCAUCACUGGUGUUCGGGUUGUCAUGCCAAUGGCACUGCCCGGUAGCUAAAUGCGGAAGAGAUAAGUGCUGAAAGCAUCUAAGCACGAAACUUGCCCCGAGAUGAGUUCUCCCUGACUCCUUGAGAGUCCUGAAGGAACGUUGAAGACGACGACGUUGAUAGGCCGGGUGUGUAAGCGCAGCGAUGCGUUGAGCUAACCGGUACUAAUGAACCGUGAGGCUUAACCUU